ACUACACUAAAGCCCCGCUUUUACCUGGCGAAUAUACCGUAAAUUUCAUUAAUAAUUUUGCUAUUAACACGACGCUUUUUUUGAAUAAAUUUGCAGCCAACUGCGAUAAAAAAUUGCGCCAUAUCCACAACUCUAUUGAACGUCUUGAAGCUUCAAUAAAUUUUCUAGAUGCCAAACUAAAACUUAUAAAGAAUGCCGAUGAAGCCUCUGAGUUAAAUGCUUCGGGACGAGAGCUCGAUGGGCCGAUACCUGCUGCCAAUUCUUCAAGCAAAGAUGGAUUUAAUAGUUCAUUGGAUACGGCUAAAUCUAAAGAUAAUGACCCUAGGUAUCGCACAUAUUUUGAAAUGCUUUCGUCUGGUGUAGCGCUACCUCAAGUUCAACUACAAAUGUUGAUAGACGGAUUAGAUCCAUCUGCUUUAGAAAAUUCUGGCACCACCAAUUUUUUCGGCAAAGACUGAAUAAGAGACUCCAUAAAAAAAUCGGAUUUAUAUUAGUUUGUAAUUUGCCCUAUACUCUCUCAAAGGAAAUGAGUAUUUUGAAAUUACUUUCUGAUAGCUGAUUUUUUCUCGAAAACGUGACUAUAUUCUAUGUACACUGGAAAGACUCCCAAUAAUCCUUAAAAUUUAUAUCCUAUCAGCGAUUAUUGAAUAUCGACUCUGAUGUUGAAGCAUUUUUUGAUUGCGUAUAUACAUAAGCGUUAUAAAAUA